ensembl:lncRNA
UGCGAUUUAAAUUUUUCCUUUCUCUUUGGAGCAUUACAAGCUCUUGGUGCAUAAAGAAGAUCUGUAAAGUUGCAAAGACUAAAGUCUCAAAUCCAAAAAAAAAAGAUAUUCUUUAUAAUAGUUAAGAGAUAACCACUCCUGCCUAAAACGGCUCAUUCUAACAUGCCUCCACAUGUCUAAGUCACGAUGUGGGAAGAUUACUCUAGGCCGCCGUGUGUGACGCUGUGUUUCGUUGUGAAAGCAAAACUACUUUGUUUGGCCUUCCAAAAGAGGACAGGACUAGAAAUCAGUGGUUAAUUUUAUUUACAACACUGUUCCAGAACAGUUCAACCCAAAUAUUCAGACGUGUGUAACCCAGGUUACUAAGAGCCCUGUUAAUGUAAAAUAGAAAAGGGAAUAAAAUACCAUAACACUCGUGAAUAUGUAAAUCAGCACUUUAUUUUAAUAACAUUGUGAAGUAGAAAAUGCAUAAAUUAAAAAAAAAGAAAUAAAACUGUUAGAAAAAUUUUUUUAUUCAAAUAAAACAAAGUGAAAAUUGGUCCAAUGAGGAGAGCGAAGAGUUACCCCCGCCCUAUGAUCGGAGCUGUGCGAGGGAGUACGAGCGAGAACGCGCGAUGCGAGAGAGAGAAACAGCAGCUGCGACACGGUCCUGAAAAAGAAGAAAACAGAAUUACAACACAUAAAUCAGCAGUUGUGUUAAGAAAAAUAACAGAUUUUGAGAGAAGAAAUGUGAAUUGAACAUCAUCAGUCGUUUAUCACGAUUGAUGCUGGCGCAAACUGUUAUAGAGGAGAGAGAAACUCGCAGAGGUUGGAGUGUUGCCUGUAUGAAACCUUCAUAAUUAGAAAAUUUGAAUUCUCUUGUCAGGUGCAGCAUAUUUUCUGGAACCAGACGAUCGUCGAAGAGGACUUUGAACUUGAACUGUCCCUGCAUUGCACUAAAAAAAAGCCAGGAACUGGCGAGCCAUGCCCAUAUAAGGAUCGAGCUACGUGAAUCAAGAGAGUGGUAGGAUUGUAUACACGCUUCCCUUUGUUUUUUUUUCCUGACUGGACUGCGUUGCUCAGAACUCAAUUGCGGAAGACGGAUCCCGCGUAAGCAGCACUGAACUGGAGAUAAAGUUUGGUGAAACCCUAAUCCACAUUGGGACUGUUAUUGUGAGCAUUAAGGUUGAUCCAUUGUUAUUUUUUAUUAUUAUUUUUUUUCUUCUCUCUAUUUUUACUCAUAUUCCACUGUCAAAUUAUUUGGUUUUAUUUUUAUUUUUGUUGUUGUUUUUCUGAAGAACAAGAGUGAAAAGGGUAUUUCAAAGAGUCAUUUGGAAGAAUUGUAUUCACAGUCAAAUUCAAAGUUAUUAUCUCUAUUAAAUAAGCCAAUUAGAACACAAAUUAAAUAAAUAGGUGAAAUAUAUAUUCUAUAUUAUUUUAUAUAUCUAUAUUCUAUAUUAGCAGAAUAAGAGUCAUUUAACUUUAUUAGGUUGAGUCUAAAUAGGUCAAAAAAUAAAUAGACAGACAAUUAAUAAAAUAGAAAAAUAGAAAUUUAAAUGUAUAAGGGUUAU